rnacentral:rRNA from 1 species
CGCCAGACUCCUACGGGAGGCAGCAGUGAGGAAUAUUGGUCAAUGGGCUUACGCCUGAACCAGCCAAGUCGCGUGAGGGAAGACUGCCCUAUGGGUUGUAAACCUCUUUUGUCAGGGAGCAACGCCGGCUACGUGUAGCCGGACUGAGAGUACCUGAAGAAAAAGCAUCGGCUAACUCCGUGCCAGCAGCCGCGGUAAUACGGAGGAUGCGAGCGUUAUCCGGAUUUACUGGGUGUAAAGGGCGUGUAGGCGGGGACGCAAGUCAGAUGUGAAAACCACGGGCUCAACCUGUGGCCUGCAUUUGAAACUGUGUUUCUUGAGUACUGGAGAGGCAGACGGAAUUCCUAGUGCAGCGGUGAAAUGCGUAGAUAUUAGGAGGAACACCAGUGGCGAAGGCGGCUUACUGGGCUGUAACUGACGUUGAGGCUCGAAAGCGUGGGGAGCAAACAGGAUUAGAUACCCUAGUA